GAGUGGGAAGAAACAGGACCCAUUCAGGGGAUCUCAGAAAUUUAGAGCUGGAGGCCAAGCCUCGGAGUCACUGCAGCCUGACCAGGUAAUCUCCCCUGAACAUCAAGGUAGCACAAACCGAGAUACUAGCCAACACUGACCGUGCACGGGCCCAGCACUGUCCACGUGCUUUACGUGCUUAUGUCAUCUCACUGAUGCUUCCCGACGUCACCACUGUUGCCGACCAGGGUUCCUGGACUCUUUAAUCAAUAGAAAUUGAUGAGAGGCCAGAGGAGGAAUUCAGGCGAGUCUUUACUGGGACUCGUGCUGCAGCAGGAGGGAGCGAAAACAAGCAACAGGUGCCCUUGCUCGCUCCCUGAGGUGGGGCGAGCUGGUCCCUUAAAUGGGGUGAGGGGGGGUUGGGCCGGAGGGACGGCUCAGGUGGUCUGCCCACCCCUUUGGUGGUGCCGUGUGCAGGGAUCAUGUGCAGGACCCUGCUUUUCCUCCCCGCCCCUCAGAAGCGGCAGUUGGGUUUUGACCUUUUUGUAUCUUCUUGUUCAUAAUUUGCCUAAACUGCGCAUGCGUGCAAGUCCCUUUUCAUUUCUUUGUAUUCUGUUGCUGGAAGAGACGUUUGUCCAGGUGCAAGCCCUGCAGUAGAGGGUCCGAGGUCCCAGCCUGCCUCAUCAUGAGCCUUCGAGGUGCGAAUUUUAUGCCGACAAGCGCCUCCAGCUCUUCCUCCACACUCUGCGAAGCUUGCAGACCUGCCCUGGAGGAACCUGCCUUAUUAGGAAGGUAAAGGGGGGGCGGUGCGAGGGUGCCGGGGCAGGGAAGGAUGGUCUCCAGGCUGACCUGAGAACAGGGUGAGUAAGAGUAUUCCGGGCCCUGCCCUCCAGGGCAGCCGCAGGUUCUCUCUGCCCUUGACCCCGUUUCAGAGGGGCGUGAGCAGCUUGGAGGGGGCACAGGUGCAGAGGGAGGCCUGGGCAGAGAAGUUUUCCUCACCAACUUGAAGGAUGGCUUGUGCAAGAAGGAAUGGUCUGGGUUUCUCUGUAUCUUUCCCGUCUUGAUCCAUGUAAAUGUGUUACUAGUCCAGAACAUACGGACAUUUAAAUUUAAGAAAGAAUGUGGUUGGUCCUUAGGUACUGAUAAUGAUUUCCAAGAAAGAAAGCUGAAAAACAAUUUGUAUAAAUCACCCCAAGCUAUGGACAA